AGUUGCCAGGGCUGCCUUUGGU
rnacentral:miRNA from 2 species